rnacentral:rRNA from 1 species
AGUGAACGCUGGCGGCGUGCCUAAUACAUGCAAGUCGAACGGAUUGGAGCACGGGUGAGUACUGUAUAGCUAAUCUGCCCUACACUAGAGGACAACAGUUGGGAACGACUGCUCAUACUCUAUAGUGUAGGAUGAGGCUAUAUUGUAUCAGCUAGUUGGUUAGGUAAUGGCUCCCCAAGGCUAUGACGGAUAACUGGUCUGAGAGGAGGAUCAGUCACAUGGGAGAUGAGAUACGGUGCAGACUCCUACGGGAGGGAGCAGUAGGGAAUAAUGCUCAAUGGGUGAAACCCGGAAGCAGCAACGCCGCGUGGAGGAUGAAACUUUUCGGAGAGUAAAAUCCUUUUGUUAGGGAAGCGGUACCUAACGAAGAAGCACCGGCUAACUCCGUGCCAGCAGCCGCGGUAAUUC